rnacentral:rRNA from 1 species
UACGGAGGGUGCAAGCGUUAUCCGGAUUCACUGGGUUUAAAGGGUGCGUAGGCGGGCAGGUAAGUCCGUGGUGAAAUCUCCAAGCUUAACUUGGAAACUGCCGUGGAUACUAUUUGUCUUGAAUAUAGUGGAGGUGAGCGGAAUAUGUCAUGUAGCGGUGAAUGCUUAGAUAUGACAUAGAACACCCAUUGCGAAGGCAGCUCGCUACACUAUUAUUGACGCUGAGGCACCAAGCGUGGGGAUCGAAACAGG